AGUUCGUGGUGUGCGCAACAUCAGAGCAAGUCUUUGUACCUCUCCCAAGCAUCAUACAUGCUCUCGUCAUCGAACUGCACAAAAGAAGAUAUAUCAUUUCUCAAUCU
rnacentral:snoRNA from 1 species